AUGGCUUAAUAAUACCACCACGAAGCCUUAAAACAAGAUGCAAUGUUGACUCUGUAAAAUAGAGAAAUCAACCCAAUGAUAAGUCUCACACUUUACAUUAAAGUCAUUGAGCAUAAUUAACAAUACCUGGGGUCUGUUGUUUCUCAGCCAAGCAGCACGAAAGUACUUGGAGUCGGACAAAAUAAAUCGAACAAAAUAAAGUAAAAAGUGCCUAAUUUUGAAUUUCAUAAAGAUUGUUAGGUUAAUUCUUAUCAAUUUAAAAACUACAGAUUUCCACCUCAAACCCCUACACUCUUUCCAUUCAUACACAUAUAUGACUAGCUACAAUUCCUAAAAUUCAUAUAAAAAAACAAAAUCAAUCAAUCACCGCAUUCAAACCAGUAGAGGAAUUAACAUCAAAUCGAAAUGAAUCCGAACCACUUCAAGUCGAACUGAAUCCGAAUCACUUCAAGUCGAACUGAAUCCGGUGCAAAGCAAAUUCUAAUUCAAAGGUUGUGAAUGGAGAUUUUGAAGAAAUCGAUUAUGAACUAGAGCAAACAGUGAGACAGAAAAAUCGAACGUUGUGAAGGAGUGUUUGAAGAAACGAACCUGAGCAAGGGCUUAUCAUACGGAGGAAGCUGUGAAAAAUCGUUGGCCGCAAAUGGAGUUUGAGCGUGGUGGAGCGUGAGAGUGCAUUUGGAAUCGAGGGUUGAGUUCUGUGUAGCUUGGGGAAGUUAGUAGAAUGUGUGAGUAUAGUCUGUUAUUUGAAAUAUCCAUGUUUAAA
rnacentral:lncRNA from 1 species